rnacentral:miRNA from 1 species
AAACGCGCACCCAAGGAGGAAUUACCGGGUGUGAAAAUGUCGCUUCUGCACACAGCGUCUCCCAGGACGCCGUGGCACCCAUAAAUUCACUGGCGCAGAUUUUUGCACCUGGUAAUUCCUCCUUGGGUGCGCGUUU